UGCCAGCCGCCGCGGUAAUACGAAGGGUGCUAGCGUUGUUCGGAAUUACUGGGCGUAAAGAGCAUGUAGGCGGAUGAAUUAGUCAGAGGUGAAAGCCCCGAGCUCAACUUGGGAACUGCCUUUGAUACUGUUUAUCUAGAGUCCGAGAGAGGUUAGUGGAAUUCCCAGUGUAGAGGUGAAAUUCGUAGAUAUCAGGAGGAACACCCGUGGCGAAAGCGGCUCUCUGGCCCGAUAUUGACGCUCAUGUGCGAAAGCGUGGGGAGCAAACAGGAUUAGAUA
rnacentral:rRNA from 1 species